rnacentral:rRNA from 1 species
AACUUUCAACAACGGAUCUCUUGGCUCCUGCAUCGAUGAAGAACGCAGCGAAAUGCGAUAAUUAAUGUGAAUUGCAGAAUUCAGUGAAUCAUCGAGUCUUUGAACGCA